UGUGUGUGUUUGUGUGUGUGUGUGUGUGUGUGUGUUUGUGUAUGCGUGUGUGUGUGUGUGUGUGUGUGUGUGUGUGUGUUUGUGUGUGUGUGUGUGUGUGUGUGUGUGUGUGUGUGUGUGCACGACCAUCCAGCUACAAAACAGAGCACUACUUAGGGGAACAAUGUGAUCUACCUGAGUGAAUACCGUCACACCAUCAACAAGGAAAGUCGUCACUAUUGUUUGGACUGCAGUGUAAACAUCACAGAUUUGCCCACAGUAGCAUUGAGGUCUUCUUGAUACACUACAGGCUUCUGCACUAUCGAGGGCGAUCCUGGCAGCAUCCUUGCUUGUGUACUGACUGCAUCUGCACUUUAAAAACUUUAGGUUCCAUAAAGAGCAAUAUUUGGGGUUAUCGCUGGAAAAGCAUCUUAUAUUUCAGACGGCACUUGGCGCACUUCCGUUGGCUUUACUUCUCGUGUGUGGAGAUCGUCUUCCUGAGACAGGACACUGGGAACUUGGAGGAACUUGAACAAUUACUUGUGACAAUUACAAUUGGCCAUUACUGUGACCCCAAAGCCUGGAGCUUCUACAAGCAACAGCCCAAAGAACAUUGGGAUCGUCAUAGAGGGCGUGGAAGUCAUCACAGGACUUGAAGAUAUUGCAAGGGCUUGCUCUGUCCUCCUUGGCUUGACUUACGCGCUGAAUCUCGAUUAUCCCAGACAGAAAUACACCUUUGAGGUGUUCCAAAAACUUUUCUUGGAACUGGAUGAUUCAAAGCUUUCAAACAAAGUCCAGUCCCUCAAGAGCAAACUUCAGGUUUGAAAUGAGACUGUAUUGCAGUGUAGACUUCACAAUGUUCUACACAAUGUUCAUCUUCUACAGAGCUUGAGAAUUGCACAUUUGAAAGUGCAAUGUUUGUAAGUUGGCACUGUUUUGUUCUACGAAUGUUGUGACAUUUCAGUUGUUGUACGUUCAAAGUACAAAUGUAUUUUACUCUGUUCAAUUUGCACUUUUAUUAUUUAUGUUUUGGCACAUGCCAUUAUGGAAUAUCAGCAUUUUGUCCUUUUCAAAGUUCUGGUUUGAAAUGCAUGAUCAAACUUCUGGCUUGAAAAUGAGACUGUAGUUGCAGUGUACAUGUUUUGCUACACAAUGUUUAGCUUCUACAGAGCUUGGGAAUUGCACAUCUGAAAGUGCUAUGUUUGUAAGUAAGCACUGAUUUGGACUCUUAUACCACGAAUGUCAGUGAGAUUUCUAGUUCAAAGUACGAACUGUUUUUUACUCUGUACAAAUUACACUUUUCUGCUUUUGUUUUGGUACAUGCACCUCUGGAGGAUUUUUCUUUUAAUAUUAUUAUUGACCCAAUUUCGUUAAGUGGGUUGAGAAAGCAUAGAAUCAGGUUUAUGGACUCAUCACCAUUCUGUAUGUCAUUUAUUUUUGUUUUUACAAAAUAGUUUAAAGUCAGCAUUCUGUCUGGUUUGAAAUGCAAGAUCCAACUUCUGGCUUGAAAUGAGACUGUGUUUGCAGUGUACAAUGAUGUGCUACAAUGUGUCUAAAGCACAAAAGUGAAUAAAAUUGUUAAUAAAAUUC